UCAGGCCUAACACAUGCAAGUCGAGGGGUAGAACACUUCGGUGUUUGAGACCGGCGCACGGGUGCGUAACGCGUAUGCAACCUACCUUUUACAGGGGAAUAGCCCAGAGAAAUUUGGAUUAAUGCCCCAUGGUAUAUUUAGAUGGCAUCAUCUGAUUAUUAAAGUUCCAACGGUAAAAGAUGGGCAUGCGUCCUAUUAGCUAGAUGGUAAGGUAACGGCUUACCAUGGCAACGAUAGGUAGGGGUCCUGAGAGGGAGAUCCCCCACACUGGUACUGAGACACGGACCAGACUCCUACGGGAGGCAGCAGUGAGGAAUAUUGGACAAUGGGCGCAAGCCUGAUACAGGCCAUGCCGCGUGCAGGAAGAAGCAUCUAUGGUGUUAAGGUGCUUUGUACGGGAAGAAACACUCCUACGGUAGGAGCUGA
rnacentral:rRNA from 1 species